rnacentral:rRNA from 1 species
UACGUAGGUGGCGAGCGUUGUCCGGAAUUAUUGGGCGUAAAGAGCAUGUAGGCGGUUUUUUUAGUCUGGAGUGAAAAUGCGGGGCUCAACCCCGUAUGGCUCUGGAUACUGGAAGACUUGAGUGCAGGAGAGGAAAGGGGAAUUCCCAGUGUAGCGGUGAAAUGCGUAGAUAUUGGGAGGAACACCAGUGGCGAAGGCGCCUUUCUGGACUGUGUCUGACGCUGAGAUGCGAAAGCCAGGGUAGCGAACGGG